rnacentral:lncRNA from 1 species
UUUGGAAGAUAAUUUAAAUGAGAUGGAUAAGCCACUGAAUGGAAGACAAACUCAAACAGCAUGGGAAAAGAAAAACAAUGGAAAGAUUUUGUCUUCAAAUAUUCAUAAUGGAUACAGUUUACCAGGCACAAUCUAAGGCACAAACACAGCUUCUGGAUACAUUAGCAUUGCCCUCCUCCCUAUACCCCAUUUAUAUCACAAAGAUGCUAAGCUCCAUGUGAGGUGAGGAAAUGUGUAAAGUGAAUGUUAUAAAUGUUAACAGCAGCAGUUCAUAAAUCACCUAUUAAAGACUGGGACACCUAAGACACUGUGUGCUCUACAACAGUGUAAAAAAAUCUCCAGUUUCUCUUCAAACAAACGAUUUUUCUCAAGAAAGACUACAAGCACUGUUUUUUGAGUAACCACGUUAAAAAAAACCUAACUCCUGUCUUAACCAUUCUAAUUAAGCUACAGCUAUGCUUCCAGACCAAGAACAGGUACUCGCAGGUGGAGCUGCAACUCAGCGACAGAACAUGUAAAAUUUGAAGCCAUAACUUUGAGAACUUUGUUCCCCGUAAUGUGCUCAGGCAUUUCUGUGCAACAUGUCUUGUCACCAUGCCUGCUGCUGCUCAAUGCACAGUCACGCAAGCUGACAAAUAGGUCAACAUCCUGAAGUGUAGUCUCAAAGGUGCUCAGAAUUCUUCCAGGUGAGCUUU